UAUGGAGGCGCUGUCAGUGCGAUUGUUCGGGGUAAGUUCCUUGGAAGAGGACAGCAUCGAGGGUGAUACUCCCGUAUGUACCUGUUCAGUUGCGCGUACGACACGUUUUCUUUGAGUCGCGUUGUUUGGGAAUGCAGCGCAAAGUAGGUGGUAAAUUCCAUCUAAAGCUAAAUAUUGGUGCGAGACCGAUAGCGAACAAGUACCGUGAGGGAAAGAUGAAAAGAACUUUGAAAAGAGAGUUAAAGAGUACCUGAAACUGCUGAAAGGGAACCGAAUCGUUUCCAGUGUCUAUAAUCCAUGGCAUAUUUCAUUGGCGCGUGAGUGCGUGCAGCGUUUUGGAAGUGGUUUCCGCUCCGGUCGCUGUUGUGCAUUUGCUUGCUGGUGCCCUGUGCUGUGGUGGGACGUCAGAGUCAGUUUGUAUGUUGCGGGAAAUGGUUAUUAGGGAGGUAGGUCGCUUCGGUGGCUGUUAUAUCCUGGUAACUAGUCGUCGUGGCUGAGACUGAGGUGCCUACAAUGUGCUUUCGAGUCUGCGGGCUUCUCGUGUGGCUGUUUGCUUUGAUAGCUUGCUAUGUUGGUGAAUACGUCGUGCGAUUGAGACCUGUAGUAACUUGUUGCCGUUCGGGACUUUGACGAAAUGGAGCGAUCCGACCCGUCUUGAAACACGGACCAAGGAGUCUAACAUGUGUGCAAGUGUUAGGGUGUGGAAACCCCAGCGCGAAAUGAAAGUAAAGGGCGGCCUAGCUGUCUGAGGUAGGAAACCUUUGUUUACAGGGGUGGCACUAUCGACCGAUCAUGAACCUUCGUGGUGAAAGAUUUGAGUUUGAGCACAUAUGUUGGUACCCGAAAGAUGGUGAACUAUGCCUGAGUAGGGUGAAGCCAGGGGAAACUCUGGUGGAGGCUCGUAGCGAUUCUGACGUGCAAAUCGAUCGUCAAACUUGGGUAUAGGGGCGAAAGACUAAUCGAACCAUCUAGUAGCUGGUUCCCUCCGAAAUUUCCCUCAGGAUAGCAGCAACUUAUUUACGAUAGUUUUAUGAGGUAAAGCGAAUGAUUAGAGGAUU
rnacentral:rRNA from 1 species